UACGGGGGGAGCAAGCGUUGUUCGGAUUUACUGGGCGUAAAGGGCGCGUAGGCGGCGCAACAAGUCACUUGUGAAAUCUCCGGGCUUAACCCGGAGCGGUCAAGUGAUACUGUCGUGCUAGAGUGCGGAAGGGGCUACUGGAAUUCUCGGUGUAGCGGUGAAAUGCGUAGAGAUGUGGAGGAACACCAGUGGCGAAGGCGGCUUUCUGGUCUGUAACUGACGCUGAGG
rnacentral:rRNA from 1 species